AAGAUACAGGAGGGAGAAAGUACUACUAUGAAUUGCAGUUACACAGAACCUACUAACCAAGGGCUUCAGUGGAUCAGGCAGGAUCCUGGGAAAGAUCUCAUCUCCCUAUUUCACAUGACUUCAAAAGGGAAGCAGAAUGGAAGGUACAGAUCCAUAAUCAAGAACAAGGAGCGCUUUAGCUCUCUGCACAUCACUGAUGCCAAGUCUGAAGACUCAGGCACCUACCUCUGUGGUGUUGGUAUACCCUCCGCUGGAAAUUAUCAACUUCACUUUGGACAAGGUACAAAGUUAACUGUGAAAGCAAAUAUCCAGAACCCUCAACCAGCUCUGUACCAACUAAGAAGCCCCAAGUCAAGUAACACUUCAGUCUGCCUCCUCACAGACUUUGGUUUUUAUAAUGGGUCCAUCAAAAAUGAGACUGUAACUGGUAGCGAAGCAACAGUCCUGGAGAUGAUGACAAUGGAAUCUAAGAGCUAUGGAGCAGUGACCUGGGGAAGUAAAUCAAACUUCACAUGCACAGAUGCAUUCCGGAAAGACAUGUUCGAUUUUAAUCAAUUCUCAGGUUCCAAGUGCAACAGUUCACAUGCAGAGCAAGGCUUUGAAACAGACAGAGAUUUGAACUUAAUGAACCUGUCUCUGAUUGUUCUCCGCAUCAUCUUCUUGAAGACUGUGGGAUUUAAUCUGCUUAUGACACUUCGUCUAUGGUCAAAUUAAAGUCUGACAAGACGGCAAGUGAACUUUAUGUCUUCCUGCUCCUUCUUUCUUCAUCUGCCCAUCUCCUUUAGAAUUAAUGAAGAAAUAUACAGCCAACCUCUCCAGGUGUAUAGGGAAGGCCAUAGGUUGGACCUUACCAUGUAUUUGGGAUACCAAAGUAGAAGAACUUCACCAAAAACCAGCCCAACCCUUUCAGUCCCUUCAUUGCUGUUUUUUAACAUGCCAUUUAAUGGAACUAGUAAAGGCAUGACAAGAGGCCCUUCCGACCAUGAAGAAAUGCUACACCUGCAUCCUCAGCCCUCGUGAGAGAAUUCCUGAAGAGUGGAGGAGAGGACAUUGUAUGUCCCUAAAGGCCUUAGAAUCUUCAAAAGCUCCUUGGAAAAUUGCUCUCUGUCUCUUUCUCCUUCCCUUCUCUACCCUCCAUAUAAUUAGAGAUUGUAAGAAGUUUUUAUUUUUAAUAGAGUUCAUAAAGGAAUACAUUUAAUUCUUUUUAUUAUUGUGUAAAAGAUUAUAUAAUUGGGUGAGCCUAGCUUUACCAUGUAUCUGAGCUGCACUGUAUUCUGUUGCCUAACCAGGUUGAUAGGAUUUAUUAAAAGUACUUUUGUAAAAGCAAAAA